rnacentral:rRNA from 1 species
CCUACGGGAGGCAGCAGUGGGGAAUAUUGGACAAUGGGGGGAACCCUGAUCCAGCCAUGCCGCGUGUGUGAAGAAGGCCCUCGGGUUGUAAAGCACUUUCAGUGAGGAAGAACGCCUGGUGGUUAAUACCCAUCAGGAAAGACAUCACUCACAGAAGAAGCACCGGCUAACUCCGUGCCAGCAGCCGCGGUAAUACGGAGGGUGCGAGCGUUAAUCGGAAUUACUGGGCGUAAAGCGCGCGUAGGUGGCUUGAUAAGCCGGUUGUGAAAGCCCCGGGCUCAACCUGGGAACGGCAUCCGGAACUGUCAAGCUAGAGUGCAGGAGAGGAAGGUAGGAUUCCCGGUGUAGCGGUGAAAUGCGUAGAGAUCGGGAGGAAUACCAGUGGCGAAGGCGGCCUUCUGGACUGACACUGACACUGAGGUGCGAAAGCGUGGGUAGCAAACAGGAUUAGAUACCCCGGUAGUC